GACGAACGCUGGCGGCGUGCUUAACACAUGCAAGUCGAACGGAAAGGCCUCUUUCGGGGGGUACUCGAGUGGCGAACGGGUGAGUAACACGUGAGUAACCUGCCCUUGACUUUGGGAUAACUUCAGGAAACUGGGGCUAAUACCGGAUAGGAGCUCCUGCUGCAUGGUGGGGGUUGGAAAGUUUCGGCGGUUGGGGAUGGACUCGCGGCUUAUCAGCUUGUUGGUGGGGUAGUGGCUUACCAAGGCUUUGACGGGUAGCCGGCCUGAGAGGGUGACCGGCCACAUUGGGACUGAGAUACGGCCCCGACUCCUACGGGAGGCAGCAGUGGGGAAUAUUGCACAAUGGGUGGAAGCCUGAUGCAGCAACGCCGUGUGCGGGAUGACGGCCUUCGGGUUGUAAACCGCUUUCGCUCAUGACGAAGCUUUGUGUGACGGUAGUGGGUAAAGAAGCACCGGCUAACUACGUG
rnacentral:rRNA from 1 species